rnacentral:rRNA from 1 species
CGCGAUGAAAGGGGAAGAGCCCAGCGCUGAAUCUCUCGGUCUUAGGCCGCUGAGAACUGUAGCGUAUAGGUGUGACUGUCCUGCUAUAUUGCAUUUCCGAAGUCUCUUUGAUAGGGGCCAACAUCCAGAGAGGGUGCGAGACCUGUACGGAAAGUAGUAUAGUUGGUAUGGUUACUCCUUGGAGUCGGGUUGCUUGAAAGUGCAGCCUAAAGUUGGUGAUAAACUUCAUCUAAGGCUAAAUAUCGACGCGAAAUCGAUAGCAAACAAGUACCGUGAGGGAAAGUUGCAAAGAACUUUGAAGAGAGAGUUCAAGAGAACGUGAAAUCGCUGAAGUGGAACCGGAGAGAGUUAACAUAACUUGGUAGCUAUAUCCUCUAAAGUCGCUUAACUGUGGCUCUGGGGGGUGGACGCUACCUGUUGUUGCACUGACUGCGUUGAUUGUGCUUUCCGAACAGUAUAGUGUUGCCCACUUUGUGGUGUCUUGCUUUCUGGGAGGUUUGUCAUAAUUAACGUAAAGCCAAUUCCCUUUGGAGUCAGUGUGAAAGUUAACCACCUUUCCGACCCGUCUUGAAACACGGACCGAGGAGUGUAAUUUAUACGCGAGUCAAGGGGUGGUGAAAACCCUAGGGGCGGAAUGAAAGUAAAGGCCGGUUAACCGGUUGACAUGGGAUCCGCUCUUCGGAGCGGCGCACCAUGGCCCUGUCUUGUCUGCUUGCAGAUGGGCAGCGGUAGAGCGUAUAGUUUGCGACCCGAAAGAUGGUGAACUAUGCUUGAGCAGGACGAAGCCAGAGGAAACUCUGGUGGAAGUCCGUAUCGGUUCUGACGUGCAAAUCGAUCGAUAGACUUGGGUAUAGGGGCGAAAGACUAAUCGAACCGUCUAGUAGCUGGUUCCCUCCGAA